GGCCUGGUGGCGCAAUGGUAGCGCGUUCGACUCCAGCGAGAUUCUCUCGUUGUCCAUCGAAAGGUUCCGUGUUCAAGUCACGUUCGGGUCA